rnacentral:tRNA from 1 species
GGGGUUGUGGCUCAGUGGUAGAGCACUCACCUAGCAUGUGUGAGGCACUGGGUUCAAUUCUCAGCACCA